CAGAUGUCACUGAAUACUCUACCGUGGUCACGGAAACCAUGGGAAGAGGGUGGGUGUGAGAAGAAGUCUUUUAUGAGGAAAUGGCUUUGAAGCUAAGCUCUGAACUAUCUCCUCCUGAGUCUUGUAUCUGCUGGUUCACUUGAUUGCUUCAUCAUGCUAAUGAGCUCAAGGUCAAAAGUUUUUGUCCCUGUAUGAGCCAGCUGUGCCUGAAGGAAAUUUGGUUCUGAAGUUUCAAAACACAGGCCAAUUUUCAGUCAAAUACUUGCAUUAUAAGCCAUAAAUAGAAACUACAUCGAACACAAAAGAAAAUAGAUUGACUUCAAAGAGCUUUGGACCCAUAUGAGAGUAGUCAACAGACACGAUCAUUGCCAUACCCACCCAUCAUCAGAGAAGCUUUUUACAGAAGAUGGGAGCUAAUGCAGAGACCCACAACUGGCCUUUGUGGUGACUGGUGUGGCAGCAGAAUGAUAUUGGACAGCCAAGAACUUGCUAAUGGAGAAACAAUUGAUGACCAUGGUUAGAGGCAUCCAUAUACAAUGAUGCUCCUUGGGUUCAUGUUCCAUGCUCUUUGUUCUACUUUUGACAAAUUACUUCAAAUCUCUGUGCUCCACUAAACAAGCAGUCUCCACAGUUCAUCAUAAGAAUUUAAUGGGUGAAUUCAUGCAAAACACACAC